rnacentral:rRNA from 1 species
CCUACGGGUGGCAGCAGUGAGGAAUAUUGGUCAAUGGGCGUAAGCCUGAACCAGCCAAGUCGCGUGAGGGAUGAAGGUUCUAUGGAUCGUAAACCUCUUUUAUAAGGGAAUAAAGUGCGGGACGUGUCCCGUUUUGUAUGUACCUUAUGAAUAAGGAUCGGCUAACUCCGUGCCAGCAGCCGCGGUAAUACGGAGGAUCCGAGCGUUAUCCGGAUUUAUUGGGUUUAAAGGGUGCGUAGGCGGCCUUUUAAGUCAGCGGUGAAAGUCUGUGGCUCAACCAUAGAAUUGCCGUUGAAACUGGGAGGAUUGAGUAUGUUUGAGGCAGGCGGAAUGCGUGGUGUAGCGGUGAAAUGCUUAGAUAUCACGCAGAACCCCGAUUGCGAAGGCAGCCUGCCAAGCCAUGACUGACGCUGAGGCUCGAAAGUGUGGGUAUCAAACAGGAUUAGAUACCCGGGUAGUC